rnacentral:tRNA from 1 species
GGGGAUAUGGCGAAAUUGGUAGACGCGUCAGCUUCAGGGGCUGAUAAUAGCAAUGUUAUGAGAGUUCAAAUCUCUCUAUCCCCA